rnacentral:tRNA from 1 species
GCCGCUGUAGCUCAGUGGUAGAGCGUCUCAUUGGUAAUGAGGAGGUCGGGAGUUCAAUUCACCCCAGCGGCACCA